rnacentral:rRNA from 1 species
CACUCCUACGGGAGGCAGCAGUGGGGAAUAUUGGACAAUGGGCGCAAGCCUGAUCCAGCCAUGCCGCGUGAGUGAUGAAGGCCCUAGGGUUGUAAAGCUCUUUCACCGGUGAAGAUAAUGACGGUAACCGGAGAAGAAGCCCCGGCUAACUUCGUGCCAGCAGCCGCGGUAAUACGAAGGGGGCUAGCGUUGUUCGGAUUUACUGGGCGUAAAGCGCACGUAGGCGGACUAUUAAGUCAGGGGUGAAAUCCCGGGGCUCAACCCCGGAACUGCCUUUGAUACUGGUAGUCUUGAGUUCGAGAGAGGUGAGUGGAAUUCCGAGUGUAGAGGUGAAAUUCGUAGAUAUUCGGAGGAACACCAGUGGCGAAGGCGGCUCACUGGCUCGAUACUGACGCUGAGGUGCGAAAGCGUGGGGAGCAAACAGUAUUAGAAACCCCUGUAGUCCCAUG